UUUAAGGAUUCAAAUGCGGUAAUUUGAUGUGUCAAUGUUAUUCUGUAGUUCUAAAAAUUUCCAAAAUCAAAAUUACCCCAACUCAUGUAAAAUGACCUCAAACAUAACGACCUUUAAGCUAUUUACCUCAAAAUUGGCCUGAUCCAUUGUCUUGGGGGCAUGUUGGUCAAUAGACUCCAUUGCCUUUAAAACAACUUGAGUUAUAAUCAACCUUUUUGUUCUCUUUUUGUGGAGUGACU
rnacentral:lncRNA from 1 species